UCCUUUUUCCCCAACCCAUCGCGAUCCCGACCUCCUCUCUUCCUUCUAUGUUCUCUCUCGGAAACGAGCGAUGUCGACGGGAGCGAGGCUCCAGCUCCAGCGAUCUUUCUCCACCGGCAUUGAUGUCCAUUGAGCUUAGAUCCGGCCGGUGCUUUUCCUCUCUGGAUCAUCAUCGAAUCGCGUCUCCUCGCAACCUCGUCUCACUGCCAUCGUUGAUCACCGGCGCAGAUCGAGUCUCGGAGCAUAGAGGUGAGGAGAUAGCUUCACCCAGAUCUUACGACGCCCUCUCUGAUUUCUUUCUACCCAUCAACGUUGGCAAGCGACAGCGGCGGUCGACCAUCUCCACCCUAAUCGGUUCCGUUGGAGAGGAAUUAGGGUUGUCGCUGAUCUUGGAGUAUACUGGAAUCCAAUAGAGAGGUGCUUGCUCUGUGGUGUUCUCUGGUCCAACAACUCCCCUUGUUGCCAACAGCAACGAUCUUGGCUGAGGAUCAUCUGUAGGGGGCAGUGAGGUGAAGUUGAGUGCGGUGGAUCAACAAUCACAGCAGGUUGAGGCCGUCAGGAGAUUCCAGUCGCUAGCCCCCUUGUUGCGAGGACUUUCAGUUGCCGAGUUUUGUUUUUGUUACUAUGUCUUUAUACACUUGUGAUGUGGGUUCUUGUAUUGUGGACUUUAUGAUGAACUUUUGGGUUUGCUACUCUUGUUUUCCGCUGCGAAUGUUUUCAUUACUUUGUGGAUUUCAUUUCUUCA